AGGGCCUGCAGACCUACGUUGAUCGUUUCCAUCGGUCAGUCGAGCUAUAGCCAUAUGACGGAAAGGUUGAGAAGAAAUAGAUGAAAAUGUACGAGAGUUAUAAUAAACAACAACUGUUUGCCUUGCAUACGCUUGUUCAACACAUUAUUGCGACGUGAAUUAAGAUUUAGCAUGGAAUUGAUUAUCUCUGGUCAUUGUUAAAGUCGUCAACUUGUUGCAGCAUUAUUACAUAGCUACUGUUAUGGUUUACAACAUUAAUGCAAUAACGAACUUCUGCUUUAGAAGGAAUACUUAAGAUCAGUGUUGAUUACAAGGUACCGUACAAUACUUAAUGUAAUGUUAAUUAUAUGCUCGAUUAUAAAGUCUAAGUCUUAAUAAAGUACAGAUCAAUAAGUAAUUACAGAUUGUCGAAUAAAUACCAAUAAUUGUCAUUUUUCUUGGACACAUGAAUAAAAAAAGUCUUUUACUAGACAAAUUGUCUAAUGUUAAACAGUAAAAAUUUACAAAAGGUAUUGAAUAGACGUGAAGCAACAAAAUUGUAAGAUAUUAUUUACUAUGAAAAUAAGUAUGAUGACAUUAAAUAGCAAUCAGAGUUUUAAUAAUAAUUCUUCAUGUUGAUCUUUGUUCAUUUCUGUCUACAAAUCAACAAUUUUCAACAUGUAACGAUUUAAUCUGAUUGCUCAUUCCUCAAUGAAAACAGGUUACAUAGAAUCGAUGUGUUUGUCAUGGUCUAUGUCCAUGGAAUUCACUGAAUCCACAUUAUCAGUCGACAGUCUUUUCCAUAACGGUACUUGAGAAUCCACAUAGAAUCUAAUCGAUAUUUUAAUUCUAUUUUCCUUAUAUCAAUUUUAUUUCUUUAAAUCUAUAAAUUUAUCACGAAUAAAAUUUACGUAAAAU